ACAAACUUGGUCAUUUAGAGGAAGUAAAAGUCGUAACAAGGUUUCCGUAGGUGAACCUGCGGAAGGAUCAUUAUUGAAUAUGCUUGAUAGGUUUGUAGCUGGCCCUUCGGGGCAUGUGCACGGCCUGUCUUGACUCUUAUUCAUCCACCUGUGCACCUUUUGUAGUUUUGGGAGGGGAAAUGCUGGAUGGUGAGGACUGCUCUACGGCUUUUUUCUGUGUUGUCGCUACUCCCUCUCGAACUAUGUCUUUUUUAUCACAAACCCAUGUAGUAUGUUGCCAGAAUGUAGUCAAUGGGCCCUUGUGCCUAUAAAACCUUAUACAACUUUCAGCAACGGAUCUCUUGGCUCUCGCAUCGAUGAAGAACGCAGC
rnacentral:misc_RNA from 1 species